CCUACGGGGGGCAGCAGUGAGGAAUAUUGGUCAAUGGGCGGGAGCCUGAACCAGCCAAGUCGCGUGAGGGAAGACGGUCCUAUGGAUUGUAAACCGCGUUAGGCGGGGAGCAAGGCCGGGCACGUGUGCCCGGAGGGAGAGUACCCGCAGAAGAAGCAGCGGCUAACUCCGUGCCAGCAGCCGCGGGAAUACGGGGGAUGCGAGCGUUAUCCGGAUUGAAUGGGUUGAAAGGGUGCGUAGGCGGAUGUUUAAGUCAGCGGUAAAAUGUCCGGGCUCAACCCGGGCCGGCCGUUGAAACUGGGGAUCUUGAGUGGGCGAGAGGUAUGCGGAAUGCGUGGUGUAGCGGU
rnacentral:rRNA from 1 species